rnacentral:rRNA from 1 species
AUUGAACGCUGGCGGCAGGCCUAACACAUGCAAGUGGAGCGGAGCGGCGUACGGGUGAGUAAUGCCUACGUAUCUGCCUGGCCGCAGGGGAUAACGUCAGGAAACGGGCGCUAAUACCGCAUACUAUCUGAUGAGCCUAGGUCGGAUUCGCUAGUUGGUGGGGUAAAGGCCAACCAAGACGACGAUCCGUAACUGGGCUGAGAGGAUGACCAGUCAAACGGGAACUGAGACACGGUCCAGACUCCUACGGGAGGCAGCAGUGGGGAAUAUUGGACAAUGGGCGAAAGCCUGACCCAGCCAUGCCGCGGGUGUGAAGAAGGUCUUCGGAUGGUAAAGCACGUUAAGUUGGGAGGCGUUACCAACAGAGUAAGCACCGGCUAACUUCGUGCCAGCAGCCGCGGUAAUAC